CCUACGGGGGACAGCAGUCGAGAAUCAUUCACAAUGGGGGAAACCCUGAUGGUGCGACGCCGCGUGGGGGAAUGAAGGUCUUCGGAUUGUAAACCCCUGUCAUGUGGGAGCAAAUUAAAAAGAUAGUACCACAAGAGGAAGAGACGGCUAACUCUGUGCCAGCAGCCGCGGUAAUACAGAGGUCUCAAGCGUUGUUCGGAAUCACUGGGCGUAAGGCGUGCGUAGGCUGUUUCGUAAGUCGCGUGUGAAAGGCGCGGGCUCAACCCGCGGACGGCACAUGAUACUGCGAGACUAGAGUAAUGGAGGGGGAACCGGAAUUCUCGGUGUAGCAGUGAAAUGCGUAGAUAUCGAGAGGAACACUCGUGGCGAAGGCGGGUUCCUGGACAUUAACUGACGCUGAGGCACGAAGGCCAGGGGAGCGAAAGGGAUUAGAUACCCCUGUAGUC
rnacentral:rRNA from 1 species